rnacentral:rRNA from 1 species
AAUGAACGUUGGCGGCGUGGAUUAGGCAUGCAAGUCGUGCGGAAAGGCUCCUUCGGGAGUACUCGAGCGGCGUAAGGGAGAGUAACGCGUGGAUAUCUACCCCCUGGACUGGGAUAGCGGCGGGAAACUGCCGGUAAUACCAGAUAAUGUCUGCGGACCAAAGGUGUGAUUCCGCCGGGGGAUGAGUUCGCGUCCUAUUAGCUAGUUGGUAGGGUAAUGGCCUACCAAGGCAAAGAUGGGUACCGGGUGUGAGAGCAUGGCCCGGCUCACUGGGACUGAGACACUGCCCAGACACCUACGGGUGGCUGCAGUCGAGAACCUUCGGCAAUGGGCGCAAGCCUGACCGAGCGACGCCGCGUGCGGGAUGUAGGCCUUCGGGUUGUAAACCGCUGUCAGAGGGGAGGAAAUGCGUGGGAGUUCUCUCUCACGUUUGACCUAUCCUCAGAGGAAGUACGGGCUAAGUUCGUGCCAGCCGCCGCAGUAAAAC